GUCUAUGUCCAUGCCACCCUGAACAUGCCUGAUCUCGUCUGAUCUCAGACGCUAAGCAGGGUCGGGCCUGGUUAGUACUUGGA
rnacentral:miRNA from 1 species